UGCCAGCAGCCGCGGUAAUACGUAGGGAGCGAGCGUUAUCCGGAAUUAUUGGGCGUAAAGGGCGCGCAGGCGGUCUUGUCCGUCAGGUGUGAAAGCCCGGGGCUCAACCCCGGAAGUGCAUUGGAAACUGGCGAACAUGAGUACGGGAGAGGAAAGUGGAAUUCCGAGUGUAGGGGUGAAAUCCGUAGAUAUUCGGAGGAACACCAGUGGCGAAGGCGGCUUUCUGGACCGAUACUGACGCUGAGACGCGAAAGCGUGGGGAGCAAACAGGAUUAGAUA
rnacentral:rRNA from 1 species